UCACUCUACCAUUGCCGGUAUGCAUGCAAAUAUUGUGCUCUUCUUAUGAUAUUGCAGUAUUAUGGUAUGUGGCAAAUCGUUCUAACUUUGUCUUAUUACAGAUUCAGAUUGGGUUCAACGAAUUAUACUAUAGCCUAGUAAAUCUUCCCGCUGUAAAUAGAAGAGCAGAAACUUUGUUCUAAAGAAAAGAACUGAAAAAAGCAUGGCAGGCGGCUUGGUUAUUGAGAGCAACAACAUGUAUCUGUGUAUUGAUUCAAUGCCUUUAUCAUGAGAUGACACUUUUUCAAACGAACAAAGACUUUGCUAUAAAGCUCAACAUCCAAUCAGAGAUGAUUUAAUUGAAGCUUUUGACAUGAAGGAUGCUGUUGCAACUGGCUUUUCUGCAGGACAGACUCCUUUGGAAAUCAAAUUGAUCGAAAUUCAAAGGGCAGUCGAGUCAGGAGCUUCUGAAAUUGAUAUUGUGAUUUCGAGAACCGAAGCUUUACAUGGAGAUUGGAAAGGCAUUUUCGAAGGCAUGUAAGAAAGCAUGUGGUGAAGGCAUUCAUAUGAAAACAAUACUCGGAACAGGAGAUUUAGGAACUAUGACAAAUGUUUAUAAAUCAAAUCUGGUAGCAAUGAUGGCUGGUUGGAUUCAAACCAGCAAGAGGAAUCCGUAGUGCGAAGGACGGUCGUACUUGGCUUGCCUUGAUGAAAGAAGAGUUGGGUGAUGUAUUGAUGAGAAAUGACUUGAUUCGGAUUGGAGCUUCCUCCUUGCUCACUGAUAUUGAAAGACAGAUAUAUCACUAUAUCACCGGGAGAUAUGCAUCUGCUCAUUGGCUACCAAUAGCAUGAGUUCUGAAUGUCAAGUUAUAAUCACUUCCAA